rnacentral:rRNA from 1 species
UAUGUUUUUAUUAACAUAAAGGGCGACGCUGUGCCUAUUGAAGAAUGAGCCAACGAGUGUAUAGAUGCUGCUUUGGUUAAUCCUGCUCAGCGGGAGAAGCCAUAGGGAAACCGAGAUUUAAUAGAUCGUCCAUCUUUUCUUCGCAAUAAAUUUAUUUUAUUGCGAAGAGAUGAUGAGGUAGCAUUUAUACGACCCGAAGCCAGGCGAGCUUACUAUGGCCAGGAUGAACUCCGACGAAAGUCUGAGGGAGGUCCGAACCGGUUGGUUGUGCAAAACCUUCGGAUGAGCUGUGGUAAGAAGUGAAAAGCUAAUCGAGCCUGGUAAUAGCUGGUUCUCUCCGAAAUAGCUUUAGGGCUAGCGAUCAUCCAUUCAAUUUUUGGGGGUAGAGCUACUGGUUUAAUCGUAAAGGGCGAAAGCUCGACGAUUAAGUCAAACUCCGAAUACCAAAAACGAGGAUGAUCAGUAAGACUGCGGGGGCUAAGCUUCGUAGUCAAAAGGGUAAGAACCCAGAUCGCCGUCUAAAGCCUCUAAAUCUUGGUUAAGUGUUAAAGGAAGUGAUUAGCCGAAGACAGAUAGGAUGUUGGCUUAGAGGUAGCCACCAUUUAAAGAGUGUGUAACAACUCACUAUCAUAUUCCGACUUCGGUCGGAAUUGGCUGAUCGCGCCUAAAAUGUAGCGAGGCUUAAACCAAGUGCUGAAGACGCGAUUCCUUAUGUUUUGCAUAAGGAAGGUAGGAGAGCAUCCUAACAUCUGUGAAGUAGGAUUCGAGAGAACCUAUGGAGAGGUUAGGAGAGAGAAUGUUGGCAUGAGUAACCGCAUUCCCAAUGAGAAAUUGGGACGCCGAAAAUCCAAGGUUUCCGUGGCAAUGGCAAUCAUCCACGGGUUAGGCGAUCCUAAGGCAAUGGCGAAAGCCGCAGCUGAUGGAGAGCUGGUUAAUAUUCCAGCCCUUCCUAUAAAUUCGAUGGAGGGACGAAGGAAAAAAAUCUGAGCAUCUUAUUGGUUUGAUGUUCUUGAUGAGUAGAAAUGUUUGUUAGGUAAAUCCGACAAACUGCUUUAAAUAGCAAAUUUCAAUCAUCGAGAAAAUUUCGCUUCGGCGAAAAAUUCAGAUGCAGAGCCUUCCGAGAAAAACUUCUAAGGUUAGUUUAUAGGAAUUCGUACCGGAAACCGAAACAGGUGGAUUGGUGUAAGUACACUAAGGCGAACGGGUGAGUUCUCGUUAAGGAACUCGGCAAAAAAGCGGCCGUAAGUUCGCGAUAAGGCCUGCCUACGUUAAGUAGGCCGCAGCUAAAGAACCUCUGGCGACUGUUUAAUAAAAACACAGGUCCCUGCUAACUCGUAAGAGGAUGUAUAGGGGCUGACGCCUGACCGAUGCGAGAAGGUCAAGAGUGACAGUUGAUUUGUCGCAAGACAAAUCAGCCGAUCGCUUUAAGCCCUCGUCAAUGUCGGCGGUAACUAUAACCGUCCAAAGGUAGCGCAAUUCCUUGUCGGGUAAGUUCCGACGCGCAUGAAUGGCGUAACGAUCAGAGGACUGUCUCAACGAGAAGCCCGGUGAAAAUGCGAUUCCAGCGAAGACGCUGGGUACCUGCAACAAGACGAAAAGACCCCGGGAGCUUUACUGUAGCUUGAUAUUGGGUUUAAGUUGUUGCUGCGUAGCAUAGGUGGGAGACUGUGAAGCUCCGAUUCCGGUCGGAGUGGAGUCGCCAGUGAAAUACCACUCUGUAACAAUUUAAAUUCUAACUUUAGCGGUAAAAACGCUAGAGGACAGUGUCUGGCGGGCAGUUUUUCUGGGGCGGAAUCCUCCCAAAAGGUAACGGAGGAGUUUAUUAAGGUCGGCUAGGUGCGGAUGGAAAUCGCACUGGUCGUGUAAAGGCAUAAGCCGGCUUAACUGUGAGGCAGACACGCCAAACUCGAGUUUUUAUUAACUCGACGGUCCGUAAUUUUUAUUUACGGAUUGAGAUGCGAAAGCAGAACUUAGUGACCCGACGGUUCUUUUUAGAACGGCCGGAGACAUCGGACAAAAGCUACCCCGGGGAUAACAGGCUAGUCAGAUCCGAGAGUCCCUAUCGACGAUCUGGUUCGGCACCUCGAUGUCGGCUCAUCCUAGCGCGGGGCUGGAGAAGGUCCCAAGCGUUUGGCUGUUCGCCAAUUAAAAGGAUACGCGAGCUGGGUUUAAACCGUCAAAUUGGCGGCCUUCGUCGGAAACUUCGAAGUGAAAAAAUCGACUCAUAUCGGUGAAGUCCUAACAUUAUUUGCAAAAUAACCUGUCAUAUGUUGGGAUAAUACCGAGGGAAGUUGUAUAUGUCUAAAAAAUAAGAAUUAUAAUGAUUUUAGAGAGGUAGUAGAUUUAAUUGAUAAAUUUAAGAAAUUAAAUUAUUCUAAAAAACGAAAAAGACAUAUAUUAACCCCGUAGAGAC